CUCCGGUAAAAAGUGAAACUCUGCGUGAUGUUUCAUCUCUACAGUUCAUUCAGGGAUCUUGUGUUGAGCCUAAAUGGAAAAAAGGAUGAUGUCAGGUGUCUAAGUUUGAGGAUGGUCCCUGAUCAAGGACAGGCCAAGGGGUGGCAAAGAGCAACGAGAAACCUCAACACCCAGGAGAACUAAAUGAGGAGCAACUACAGAUCGAUGAAAAGGACUAAUCUGCACUUAAUAAGAAUCUCAGCAAGCCCAGGACUGGGAGGAGUAUGUGAUGUCACCUCCAGUACAAGAAAACAGCUUUUUGAAAGUCUGCAUUCCAGAAAAAACUUCAAAGGCCUCAUAUGAGUAAUUGACAAACUGGCAUUGAUGACAACAAGAUUAAUUAAAAC